CUGGUUUUGGUUGGCCUGAGUGUCCCACUUGAAGAGGCAGAUCAGAAGUGCUUGGAAUACUUUUAUAGACAAAGUAUCUAAGGAUUGAACAGUAUGACAUGAAAGCUCUUUCUGAUUCUUUACUGCUAGAAGAGUUACAGAGCCUAACUAAGACAUAUUUGGGGGCUAUUGAUUCUGAAAAAGAAAUCAUAACUAGGAACAGAGGUGUAUGUGAGAUACUAAAUAGUAUAGGGAACAGUACAUUUUGUUGGAGAUCUGGUCAACCUGAAGCAGUUUGAGGCAGAUGAUUUCACUUAGCAGACAAGUCCUAGCCUCAUGAACCUAAUGUCCAUGUAUUGAUCAACAGCACCAAAAGGAUGCUCGUUCUGCCUCAUUUCCAGGCUGAGGAUGGUGUAUGCCAUCUAAGACACUGUUAGCUGUUUGGAGAUGUAAAUAAAACACAAGAGAAGGGCCAUAUGAGAGGUAACAGUUGGCACAAUGCUUCGUCUAGAGGAAGCUAUGUAACAGGCCUGCCAGUGGAUGGACGUACAAGAAGUGAACACAGGAUGUGGAAGCAGACAAGGGCGGCAGGUCCAGCAGACAAGGUGCUAGCUUGUAAAUCCCUUUCAAUUCAGGCUCAUUGGCUAAACCAAGGGAAACAUUCCUCUCUAGAUACUCCCAUACAAUAAUGCAAGUAAUAAGACAGAAAAGCAGAGCCCUAGCUCUGUGGAUGCAGGUGGCUUCGGGAGAGCGGGCGAGGGCGUAGAGCAUGCCCACGAAACUGCCAGCCUCACCUGGCUUUCCCUAUGGGUUUGGAUUUCAUCUAAGCUUGGUCUCUGACUCAGGCUCACCCUAUCUGGCAUAUUUAGCAAUAUUCUGAUUCUGGAAAAUGUAAAUAAGACACCAAUCAAAAGUUCAGUAGCACGGUCCUCGCUGAGAGCAGAGGAGUCUGGAGGCGUUUUUGGCGGUAUUUUGCUGGACCACAAUAAAGUAAGGUGAGCAAGGAAGCCUCCUUGGGAAUUCACGGGCGAAAUCAAGAGCGCAUAGAUAAUCCUUCGUGUGAACAUGUUCUUGUGCUGGCACAAGCACGUUUUCACAGACUACCAGAUAGAAACGAUUUUCCCUAAGUUUUUUAGGGGGUGGGAGUGGGUAUGCUAUAUUUGUGCUACAUUUUAUCACCAGAAUACUGGAAAUUAUGCCACAUUUACUUAGAUGCUAUGAUGUACAAAGGGAUGUCUCAAGCCCGUACAAUGCUCUCUGGAGAACGGAUGCUGCGAACCAUUUGGAGCAUUCAGUUACAAAGGAACCCAACCAAGUAGGACAACUGAACACUGAAAUGAGUGCAUGCUCUCUCGGGGUAGGCUUAAAAAAGUGGAGCAUCUCCAUGGUUAGUCCACAGCAGAAUAUAAGGAGAAUACGAUAACAGGAGUCGGUAUAAACUCAAAAAUGCAUUUGCCCUAUCUAUGCCUCCUUGUCUGGAUCUAAGGCUGCGAAAACCCCAGAGCCUCAUGUGAAGGUGGAGAAAAGCUGGUUUAGAAGGAUUUUGUGACUUGGUGUUAAAAAAAAAACAAAAAACAAAAAACACCAGUAUUUUCAGUUUUUCUAUGCAAGGAACCAACUGUGGACUUUGAUUUACAUAACCCUUUGUGCUUCUAUCUCCUCGUCUCUAAAAUAAGGCCUAUUAUAAUUUCUGUGCCAUCGCAUAGAAUAUCAAAGAGCAUGUGUGAAAUUAUUUAUAAAUAGAAAAGGGCCAUCUAUCUCCAGUUCAUGCAGUUUCCUCUCUUCCUGGGGAAAUCUGGACUCUCCACUGUGGCGUGAGAUGGAUGUCACAGAUCGGGAAAUUUACCUUUCCCGGUGUCCGACCUUUUGUCUGCAUUAUUCAUCUUUGUCCCAUUUGGAGGGCAUGAUGCCAUCCAACUGUGCAUGGUUCUACACCUCAAUAACAACUCCAGAGAAAUCGAACUUAAUGUAUGCUGCGACACGUGUCUGAGAGCAAAUGGGCUGUGAGACGGGAAACGCCGGUUCCGCCUUGCUCCUGGGGAAGUCACGACGAGACAGCUGCGCCUACAAAUGAAGCCAUUUGAGGAGUUAACAUGGAAGAAGGCACCACAUAAUCACCAAGUUCUGUGGAGCCACGCGCGGACCGUGCUUUAGAAAUUAAUAAAACCACCGAAGACAUGGGAAAGAUACACAAAAUGAAAGCCAAAUGAAUGGAUUCGCUUUCUUGUGUGGUUCAGCAACUCUGGAUCCAAAGGCUGUCGGGGUCUGCUGGGCUAUGGUUUAAAUGGUAUCUCUGAGUGAUUUACACUACAGCCAUGUAAGAAAUCAAAGUCAAGCAGGGUAAAAAUAAAGGACGAUCACACUUUUUGGUUCUAGUGGCUAAAAAUCUACAUCGGAGAUGGGAAAGAAGUUGAUAAAUAAAAAUAGUUGUCAUUACCGAUUUAAAAGCUAACCACUAAUCUCUUUCUUAAUAUUUUCAACUUUCAUUUAAUUUCAAAAACCUUCUUGCUCGCCAAGGUGUGUGCUCAUUAAUUUAUCCAACCAGCCAGAAAAAUUACAGAGUUUUUCCUGUGUACCUGAAACCAUUCUCAGGGCUUUUAAAAUGCACCUGACUUAAUCCUCAUAACUUUAUUUUCCAUAGUUAUUAUUAUUGUUAUUAUUAUUAUUAUUAUUAUUGUUAUUAUUAUUAUUAAUUUUCAAUCAAGGGAACCAAGACCCUGUAGGAUAUGAGCAACAGGUCAUUAUGAUAAAUUUAGCUAGUCAUAGGUGUGGAAUUUGAAUCCAUUCUUCCCCCUUUAGUGUCCAAUAACCUUUUCCACUAUAACCUACGUUCAGACAUACAUGUGUAUGCGUGUGCGCUCACCUGUGCGAGUGUCUGUUGAACUCAGAGGUGGACAUCUACUAUCUGCUUGUAAUGUUUGGCACCUUGUUUUAUUUUGAGGUAUGGUCUCUCAUUAAACACUGGACGUGACAUUUUGGCUAGACUGGCUGGUCAGGAAGUCCCUAGGCAUCUACAUAUUUCUGUCUUCCCUGGUGCUUGGGUUGAUGUAGGUGUGGCCAGACUUGACAUUUGUGUAGGUCCUGGGGAUCAGAACUCAGUCAGGUCCUUGUACUUCUGCAGCAAGCAUUUUUUUUUUCUUUUUUUCGGAGCUGGGGACCGAACCCAGGGCCUUGCGCUUGCUAGGCAAGCGCUCUACCGCUGAGCUAAACCCCCAACCCCAGCAGCAAGCAUUUUAUCCACUGAGCCACCUAUUUACCAUAUAAGUCUAUAUAUAUGUUUUGAGCAAGUUUUGGAGGCAGCAGAAUGGCAUCCUUGCCCAGAGUGUACCCUGAAUGAGAGGUAGCAGAAAAGGUAAAAUUAUGUCUUUGAGACACUAAGCAUCUGUGUGUUAUAGUCUGAUCUGCAAGGUGGAAUAGAGCUUACUUACCACAGCAGCUUCACGAUUAACUCGGACCCGUGCUAUCUGCCUUCUUAUUGGAACUCAACCUACGAGUGGCCAGGGGAAAUUUGGCAGGGCAGAUUUCCGUCUUUCAUCCCUGCCUCACUGAAGCAGAGCUGAUGGAGUUAGACUAGGAAACUUGGUUUUUCAAUCAGCAGACUAUUUCAUUAUGACACACGCUGAAAUGGGGGGAGAAACCAUCCCUGAGCAUGCUGGAUGCUAUCUGUCUGGGAGCAUGGUGGUUCUUUGGAAGGCUGCUGCAGACAACUCCUGCCCAAUGUCAAGGUCUAACUGUGCUGAGACCUUUCCUGGCUACAUUGAACGAGUCCAUGUUCCAGCAUAACCUCUCUAAACAGUUCUAGUUCUCACUCUGUGAUAACCACAUCCAUAUGCACAUCCAGCUUAGAGUUCUGGACACCACGUGAAAGUGGAAAUGGACGCUAGGAAUGUGGCUGGCCUCUCUCUCUCUCUCUCUCUCUCUCUCUCUCUCUCUCUCU